GACAGCCGACACCUUUUGGAGGCUUGAGUUUCACUUGGGUAAAAUGACCAGAAUGAUCCUUCCGGCUGCCUUUAUGGACCUUUAUUACAGAGUUGCGUAAAUAACCUCCAACCUCUUUUGAGGUGGCCUUGGCGAGGUCCAACCCCUUCUCCUUCAGCUCAGCCAGAGGCCCGUUCCGAGAAAGCAGGAAUGAACAAAAAGCAGGAGACACCACCCAGCUUCUCCCUACGGUUCUCUUUAUUACAUCAGAGAGAUAUCCAGGGACUUCUUGGCCAGGUCGCUAUGCUUGAUGUCGUAGAAAAAUUCCUAUCCAGAAAGACGAGGGGUCAAGAGGCGGAAAGGCACCUCCAGGAGCAGAUCAACAAGAGUAACAACACAAAAAAGAUUGACUGGGAAGCAGCAGGAACGGGGUUGACUCCCACUUUUGCAACCCCUGGACCCCUCUCUACUCCCUUGGCCGAGAUUACCAGCCCCCCAGCCCCCAAAAAGCUGUGCCUGUCUGAGUGGGCCAGAGAGGGCUUUGCCAGGCUUCCUGCAAAGGGGGCCUUUCAGAGG